rnacentral:tRNA from 1 species
AGAUGGGUACCCUGCCCUCCGAAGGCAGAGGUCACUGGUUCGAAUCCAGUCGGGUGCGCCA